CGGGGCAGAGAUGGCUCUGAUAGGAGCUAAACUGUAUUUCUCUCACUGGCCUUAUCUGAGCCAUUCUUCCCUAAUUCUGGGCUCCAGGGUCAGGGCCACUUGCCAGUGCUGUGCUAACUAUGUAAAUGUGGAGGCUGCCCUGUUCUGGCCACAGAUCGAUCAGUGUGCUCUAUAGAGUAAAUAUGUCAAGAUCUGUCCUGAGCACAAUACCCACAAGCAGAGCAGAAGCAACCACUCUGUAAGAAACUGGCCACUCUCCAUGCCUGCCUUCAUGAGCAAUAGUAUGCUUCUUAGUGAAGAAUCAGCCAUCUGCAGCCAAGACCUCCACAGCUCUCCACAAGGUGACUGGGCUUAUUUUGAACACAAGAAAGUUCCAGUUUAAGGAUGUUCUUAAAAAUACUGGAGAUUUUAUAAUAGGACAAUACACACAGUCUAGUAGCUUCACGCUAAUAGCAAAUAAACUAGUAAACUACAGAGAGGUAAAC